AUGAACGCUGGCGGUGUGCCUAAUACAUGCAAGUCGAGCGAACAGACGAGGAGCUUACUCCUCUGACGUUAGCGGCGGACGGGUGAGUAACACGUGGAUAACCUACCUAUAAGACUGGGAUAACUUCGGGAAACCGGAGCUAAUACCGGAUAACAUGUUGAACCGCAUGGUUCAACAGUGAAAGACGGUCUUGCUGUCACUUAUAGAUGGAUCCGCGUCGCAUUAGCUAGUUGGUAAGGUAACGGCUUACCAAGGCAACGAUGCGUAGCCGACCUGAGAGGGUGAUCGGCCACACUGGAACUGAGACACAGUCCAGACUCCUACGGGAGGCAGCAGUAGGGAAUCUUCCGCAAUGGGCGAAAGCCUGACGGAGCAACGCCGCGUGAGUGAAGAAGGUCUUCGGAUCGUAAAACUCUGUUAUUAGGGAAGAACAAAUGUGUAAGUAACUAUGCACGUCUUGACGGUACCUAAUCAGAAAGCCACGGCUAACUACGUG
rnacentral:rRNA from 1 species